AGGUCUAAAUAUUUCUAGGCUACUGGUGGCUCGGGCACACACUGACAGCAAUGUUGUGGAUGGCGAUAUUGGCUUUGAACACGGAUGAAAACAAGAUCUGGUCUCCUUUUUUCACCCAGACAGUGUCGACGAGCUGACCUAGGAGAUAAAAGGACAGAUACACUACUCCAAGGGUGAGGUUCAGAGCACGUUUGCCCUGGGCGUGGAAGAGCGUUACUUUCACAUCAGCACCUGGCUGGUAGCUGCUAAGGCCAGUCUUACCAACUUCAUGAAGCUGGAACAGACUUUCCUACAGCUCAGCAUGCUUCCUGGGGAGUUGUUCCUGCAGAUCACAUAUGAGCGAGCUCAUGGGACCCGUGCCCUGCACCAGGAGGUGCUGUGGAAUGGCCAGGUGUUGGCCACCACUGGGAGCCUCUCUGGGCUUCCCCAAGCCCUUCAGGAACCUCAGCCUGCAGGGUGCUGAUCUCCUCCUCCCUACGGCUGGGGAAGAGUGAGCUGGCUGCCUGCCUGGCCCUGGCUCACCCAUUCAACAUCUCCUGGCGGCAAGCUGAGGCCAGUGGCCUUGCUGAGAGCAGGGGUGGCAGGCAGAGCCAGCAGGUGCAGCUCACCUGGAACAGAGGACAACCCGUGACCCUGAAGCUUGCCUGGGCCGACAGGUUCUCGGCACACAGCACCGCCUGGGACAGCUGCCUGGCCGCCCACCUGGGGCAGGAAACCUGGGGCCUGCACGCCCUCCAGGCCUGCGGAGCUGUAACACAGACCCCAGACGUGUUCACUGAACAGCUCGACCUGUCCUGGGGCCAGCAGCGCAUGAGGCAGAACUUGACAUAUGAGAGGCAUCAGCCAUCUCAGCCAGACAAGAUCAUCGUGGAGGCCACGCUGGAGCACGUCCUCAGGGCCUCUUCUGCCCCACAGAGCUUCCGGGAAGUACAGACUGACUACGCACACUGGCUGUGGCACUCCCUCCACCUGGGGCUCCGUGACCUGCCCAGGGUACAGCCGGCAGGCACCCUGGAUGGCGUGGCAGGCCUCCUCCUACAGCUGUCCCAGGCAGGGCCGGAGGCCGUGCAGGUGGCCCACCCGAUGCUGUCCUGGGCUGAAGCCAUGUUCUCAUGGGCACUGAAGAGGCUCUGCAAACCCCUGCUGGACCUGUACAGCCUCACAGCCAGGUAA
rnacentral:lncRNA from 1 species